rnacentral:rRNA from 1 species
UACGUAGGGUGCGAGCGUUAAUCGGAAUUACUGGGCGUAAAGCGUGCGCAGGCGGUUUUGUAAGUCAGAUGUGAAAUCCCCGGGCUCAACCUGGGAACUGCGUUUGAAACUACAAGGCUAGAGUGUAGCAGAGGAGACUGGAAUUCCUGGUGUAGCAGUGAAAUGCGUAGAUAUCAGGAGGAAUACCGAUGGCGAAGGCAGGUCUCUGGGCUGAUACUGACGCUCAUGCACGAAAGCGUGGGGAGCAAACAGG